rnacentral:rRNA from 1 species
CGGGUGAGUAACACGUGGAUAACCUACCUAUAAGACUGGGAUAACUUCGGGAAACCGGAGCUAAUACCGGAUGAUAUUUUGAACCGCAUGGUUCAAAAGUGAAAGACGGUCUUGCUGUCACUUAUAGAUGGAUCCGCGCUGCAUUAGCUAGUUGGUAAGGUAACGGCUUACCAAGGCAACGAUGCAUAGCCGACCUGAGAGGGUGAUCGGCCACACUGGAACUGAGACACGGUCCAG